rnacentral:rRNA from 1 species
GAUGAACGCUGGCGGCGUGCCUCAAACAUAGCAAGUCGAGCGAGGCUAUGAAUUACCGCAAGGUAAGGCAUAGCCUAGCGGCGAACGGGUGAGUAACACGUGGGUAACCUACCUGGAAGACAGGGAUAACGAUUCGAAAGGGUCGCUAAUACCUGAUAAUAUCCAUCUGCCGGAUGGCGGAGGGAGGAAAGGGGAAACCCGCUUUCAGAUGGGCCCGCGUCCCAUCAGCUAGUUGGUAAGGUAAAGGCUUACCAAGGCGACGACGAGUAGCCGGUCUGAGAGGGUGUACGGCCACACUGGGACUGAGAUACGGCCCAGACUCCUACGGGAGGCAGCAGUUGGGAAUCUUAGGCAAUGGACGAAAGUCUGACCUAGCGACGCCGCGUGAGGGAAGAAGGCCUUCGGGUUGUAAACCUCUGUCAUGGGGGAAGAAGGAAGUGACGGUACCCCAAGAGGAAGCCCCUGCUAACUACGUG